UGGGGAAUAUUGGACAAUGGGGGGAACCCUGAUCCAGCCAUGCCGCGUGUGUGAAGAAGGCCUUAUGGUUGUAAAGUACUUUAAGCGAGGACGAGGCUCUCUUGGUUAAUACCUAAGAAGAGUGGACGUUACUCGCAGAAUAAGCACCGGCUAACUCUGUGCCAGCAGCCGCGGUAAUACAGAGGGUGCGAGCGUUAAGCGGAUUUACUGGGCGUAAAGCGUGCGUAGGCGGCUUUUUAAGUCGGAUGUGAAAUCCCCGAGCUUAACUUGGGAAUUGCAUUCGAUACUGGGAAGCUAGAGUAUGGGAGAGGAUGGUAGAAUUCCAGGUGUAGCGGUGAAAUGCGUAGAGAUCUGGAGGAAUACCGAUGGCGAAGGCAGCCAUCUGGCCUAAUACUGACGCUGAGGUACGAAAGCAUGGGGAGCAAACAGG
rnacentral:rRNA from 1 species